GAGGGUAUACCUCAGUGGUAGAGCGCAUGCCUAGCAUGCAUGAGGUCCUGGGUUUAAUUCCUAGUACCUCCA
rnacentral:tRNA from 1 species